GAGCAACCCACAGAUAUGCUUCACAGUAAGAUGUCCUCCACAAGGUCUUUUGGCUGACCUGGAUGUUUCUGAUGGCAUAUAAUUUCGUUCAGAAAUGUUCAAAUGUCUUCAUAAAAUAUUUGAAAAUUAAUCAAUAUUGAUCUUCCCUUUUUGAAAAAAGAAUUUUCACCCCCUGCUCCCUUAACACCAAGUACAUGUACUGAUGCGCUUUCAAACUCCAGUGAUGCAGAAGGGUUGGAGAGAGCAUAGCCGGGCCUAUCUGCAAUCUCAAACUCUAGUAAUGCCAGAGAAGGUGGCAGGUUUGGUAAGUACAAACAUUCUCUUCUAUUAAUUUCUAGGUUUAAGGAAUUAAGUGUGAUUGAGACAUGAUGGCUUUGUGUUGUUUUUCUGUAUGCAAUUUCAUUAGGUGAUUCAAGACUUUAUUUUGCGGUUCAAUACUGAAACAUUUGCAAAAUUGCUUGAGCAGUAGGAGACAGCAUUCCAGCAGAAAGUCAUCAAAGAAGCAAAGUCUCUUACUUUGACAGCAGAAGUUCAAAGUUAUAUUAGUGCAACAGAGAAACAACAGUCUGAAAAUGACUGUAACGGUGACAUUUCCUCUUUCUUGCUGCUGUUGUAUUUGUUACCACCUACUGCAGGGAGGAACAAGGCUACAAUCAGUCCAACUGAUGUUGUUGACAGGCUUGUACAUUUUCAUAAGUCCCGUACCAGCAUUGAAGAACAUCUCAGCAGGAGAGAAGGUCACCAACCAUACCUACUUGCAGUAGGACGAACUAAGAAGAGGAUCAACAAUUUUUAUGUGGUUGUGAACAAGCAGCUCAUCCCUUGUGCAGGAACCACCUCCCUGAGUGCCAUUGAUAAACUUUCAAAGUUCAUUACAUUUUUAACCUUGCCUAUGAAGAAUCUCUGGCAAAUGUCUAGAGCCUUUUAUUUAAUGUUAUCCUUUUUAAAUGAUCACCAAUAGCACUUAUUUAUUUUUUACACAAUUGCCAUGCAUAUAGUGCCAUGCAUUUUGAUUAGCUCAGUGUUACAGCACAGUGUUUGCUCAAAAGGAUUAAUAGCAGCUGUAACCAAUAUGUAAAUGUACAUAUAUGUAAAUUAACUUUUGUAUCCUCUAUAAAUUGCCAUUGAGACUGUGCUUUUU